CAAGGCCUUGCGCUCUUUGAGCGGCCGAUGUCAGAUUAGCUAGUUGGUGAGGUAAAGGCUUACCAAGGCGACGAUCUGUAGCGGGUCUGAGAGGAUGAUCCGCCACACUGGAACUGAGACACGGUCCAGACUCCUACGGGAGGCAGCAGUGGGGAAUUUUGGACAAUGGGGGCAACCCUGAUCAGCCAUGCCGCGUGAGUGAAGAAGGCCUUCGGGUUGUAAAGCUCUUUCGGCCGGGAAGAAAUCGCAUGGGCCAAUACCCUGUGUGGAUGACGGUACCGGAAUAAGAAGCACCGGCUAACUACGUGCCAGCAGCCGCGGUAAUACGUAGGGUGCGAGCGUUAAUCGGAAUUACUGGGCGUAAAGCGUGCGCAGGCGGUUUUGUAAGACAGGCGUGAAAUCCCCGGGCUUAACCUGGGAACUGCGUUUGUGACUGCAAGGCUAGAGUACGGCAGAGGGGGGUGGAAUUCCACGUGUAGCAGUGAAAUGCGUAGAGAUGUGGAGGAACACCAAUGGCGAAGGCAGCCCCCUGGGUCGAUACUGACGCUCAUGCACGAAAGCGUGGGUAGCAAACAGGAUUAGAUACCCUGGUAGUCCACGCCCUAAACUAUGUCAACUAGGUGUUGGGUGGGUAAAACCAUUUAGUACCGUAGCUAACGCGUGAAGUUGACCGCCUGGGGAGUACGGCCGCAAGGUUAAAACUCAAAGGAAUUGACGGGGACCCGCACAAGCGGUGGAUGAUGUGGAUUAAUUCGAUGCAACGCGAAAAACCUUACCUACCCUUGACAUGCCAGGAACUUGCCAGAGAUGGCUUGGUGCCCGAAAGGGAGCCUGGACACAGGUGCUGCAUGGCUGUCGUCAGCUCGUGUCGUGAGAUGUUGGGUUAAGUCCCGCAACGAGCGCAACCCUUGUCGUUAAUUGCCAUCAUUUAGUUGGGCACUUUAACGAGACUGCCGGUGACAAACCGGAGGAAGGUGGGGAUGACGUCAAGUCCUCAUGGCCCUUAUGGGUAGGGCUUCACACGUCAUACAAUGGUCGGUACAAAGGGUUGCCAAGCCGCGAGGUGGAGCCAAUCCCAGAAAGCCGAUCGUAGUCCGGAUUGCAGGCUGCAACUCGCCUGCAUGAAGUCGGAAUCGCUAGUAAUCGUGGAUCAGCAUGUCACGGUGAAUACGUUCCCGGGUCUUGUACACACCGCCCGUCACACCAUGGGAGCGGGUUCCGCCAGAAGUAGGUAGCCUAACCGCAAGGGGGGCGCUCACCACGGCGGGGUUCGUGACUGGGGUGAAGUCGGAACAAGGUA
rnacentral:rRNA from 1 species